GUUCCGCGCGCGGUCUGUCGAGCCCUGUCAGAUGCGGGCUGUGGAGAGCGCCGGCGCCGAGAGGCGCGGGGAAGGGACGUCCAACCCGGCGCCCGGGCUAGGUCAACGACGUGAUGUUUUACCUGAGGAGUCCUCAGAAGUUUCGGUCGUUCCGUCUUCAUCAUAGUUACGCGAUGCUGUGGACGUAAAAAGCACUCUCACGCCAUUUUGGAGGAAACCAAAGCUAUGCAACUGCCAGGAAAGAAAAAGGAGUACCAGAUUCAGAUCAGAGCCCCGGGAAUGUCCAUAUUUGAGGAGGAUGAAGAGCCAAGGAAGGAUGGAGCACUGGAAGAGAAACGCCCCCUGACAGCCCUGGGAGUGAGCAUCACCUUCCCAACACACCUCACACAGUGCCUCAGGGUUUGCUGAAUGAUGUAAAAAGAAUUUUCACGACAAAGUGUUGCUGACAAGAAUACAGAUGUGGGAGAACACAGAUAUGUGAGCGCCUUUAGCGGACACUCCACCCCUGGCUGCCGUGACUGACCGUGCUGACCGACUUCCACAUCACCCACACACAGAAACCUGAGCCUGCCAGACUCAAGCGCCUCAGUUACCAAAGUACGUGCAACAAAUAUUCUGGCAUUAAAAUGCAAAAAUGUGUAAAUCUAAAAAGCAUCCUGAGAGUUCACUCAGUAUUUCAGUUAUAGUAUAAUUACAAUGGCCCAGUUACUCUUGUUAGGAAAACAAAUGUGAUCUGUGGCAGUACUAGACAGAACGGAUUAACCGCAAUAGACAAUCAGGUCACUUAAACUCUCCUGAACCCUUACAUGACAAAUUGGGGAUUUAUAAUAAUUUCAAGAUUCCAACUUUGAAUGAGGUCAAUAAUCUUACAAGAGUUGGUCUAAAUACUACUUUGCACUAUUUUUUUUUAAACUGCUAAAACCCAUUUAAUAAUAUGAAUUAGACUAACUUUUUAGAGUUAAUGGCAUGUUUUAUUUACAAAUACAUAUUUGCUAGUUACACAACAUACUUAUUUAUUCAUUCAGUCCUUUAGAGACUGUAUUAAGAAACCCAUUUAGCCUACUUCAAAUUGUUGGUUGUUAAACAUAACAAAAAUGUGUAUCUUUAUCAACAGUCUGUAAUUCAGUUUUUCACUGUUUCCUUCAACCUGAUCCUUAUCUAUGGGAAGUUUUAGAGCAUAAAAUUUUCGUAUUAUACAUCCUGACAAUGAGGACUCGAAACCUCCCUCUUGUACUACCUAAUGAAAGCCUGCUACUCUCAGGAGCCUACUGAAGACAAGGACAUGCCUCCUCCUACUUGAAAGGUGGCAUUUUCCUUCAUAUCUGCAUUUCACCCCCGGCAGUCUACAGGAGGGGUCACCCACCUGCCUGCUGACGCAGCCCGGCGGCAGCAGCUCCCCAGCCCCCGACCCUCAGUCACCCUGGGAAGCCCCUGCUGAAAGUCGAGCAAAUAGAACUGUAAACGGCUAGUGCCCAAGAGGACUAGAUGUGGAAGAGGGGAGUUCCAGGAGAGGGGAC